AAACCAACAGGGAUUACCUCGGUAACGGCGAGUGAAGCGGUAACAGCUCAAAUUUGAAAUCUGGGUCUUUCAGGCUCCGAGUUGUAAUUUGUAGAAGAUGCUUCGGGUGCGGCUCCGGUCUAAGUUCCUUGGAACAGGACGUCAUAGAGGGUGAGAAUCCCGUAUGUGAUCGGUUGCUUGCGCCCAUGUGAAGCUCUUUCGACGAGUCGAGUUGUUUGGGAAUGCAGCUCAAAAUGGGUGGUAAAUUUCAUCUAAAGCUAAAUAUUGGCCAGAGACCGAUAGCGCACAAGUAGAGUGAUCGAAAGAUGAAAAGCACUUUGGAAAGAGAGUUAAACAGUACGUGAAAUUGUUGAAAGGGAAGCGCUUGCAACCAGACUUGCGCGUUGCCGAUCAUCCGGGGUUCUCCCCGGUGCACUCGGCCUCGCUCAGGCCAGCAUCGGUUUUGGUGGUGGGAUAAAGGCCUUGGGAAUGUAGCUCCUUUCAGGGAGUGUUAUAGCCCUCGGUGCAAUGCCGCCUACCGGGACCGAGGACCGCGCUUCGGCUAGGAUGCUGGCGUAAUGGUUGUAAGCGAC
rnacentral:rRNA from 1 species